rnacentral:lncRNA from 1 species
ACCCGAUCCAGAUAACAUACCCAUGGCGGCGUGCCGCCCGAUCCACACAUAGAUCUCACAUAAGGAGAUGCACAUCGAGUCAAAUCUGCUCAUUACAACAAAAUAGCGAGUAUCAGUCGUAAGCAUGCUAAGUGAAUAAUAAUAUCUCUGAGGGACAUAUAGCGUAAUAAGCUACAGAACUCAAGAACAACUAAGGUGCGAUGUACAAAUAUGAAUUUCAAGAGCCAAUAUGCUCAUAUAACGUCAUUCCUACAAGGAUUCUCAACACAUAGAAAUUUCUCAAGUCGUCUCACAACUUACACGGUGCAAUGCAUCACUAUGCGAAGUAUCUGACAAUGAGACAUCAACCUAACUACUCCUCCAUGAGGACCGCAUUACUAACAUGCACACAUCUGGCCUGAUAUAGAGCCAUAAUUUGCAUUAAUUCUAUCCAUCGACUUCAAGCCAAUUUUGAUCAUACUGAACUGGUCUAAUACCUUUCAAAGGUAACACACAAGAAGAACCAUCAUAAUCGGAGUAAUCCUCCCCAGUUCACAACCCAAUAUGCCAAGUUCCCUCCAGGCAUGAAUCUUCAAUUUGACGACACCAUCACAAACUCCAUACUUGGUUUACAUCAUUAAUCAAUCAAGUGAUCACAUGCCACAUUUAUAUAAUCUCCUCAUGGGACACACUCCCACAACAUACCACAACAAUAUCUGGAGCGUACCUCCAAACAGCCGGUCGCACUAACGUUGAAGAGAUUAACCAGGAUGGAAAACCCUUUUUACAAAACACCGAUCUUAGGUGACACUGAAUACAAUGCCAACUUACUGUAAACAUGGAAACUUAUCUCCUGCUCAUCCGUGCUCAUGACAUCUUUACCAAAAGUUUCCCUUCACUCGUGCCAUUCUCGGCCCAAUUUUCCACAACCAGAACUGAUUCAACAUCAUGCAUCAAAUCGAAACUAACAUAGUAUAUAAUCACACAAUCCGCUAACCAAUAGCAAGCUUCCCAACUUGGCUCGAACCCAUAGAUCACAACACAUAUACUCUAUUGUUGUCGUAAUGUCAUGGUGAGAUUAAAUCCACUCCUUCAUAAGCUUGUGGAAACACGAAUCAUCAGAAUUUUUUUUGAGCUCUUUUGCAAUUUUCGCAUUCAUUCACACAACAGUUAAGCUCACUCUCUAGGCGACAAUUUUGUUUUACUAAAUCCAAUUUUUUCAAAAAUUUCGGUAGAGUUUCCUUUGUAAUUGGGCCUAUCCACGUGCCAGAGAAUCACCAAAACCAUCCUUACAACACGUCCACAACUUGACAAAGCAUCACAAUGUAUAUCAACAAUAUUAAUCUCAAUAUUACAUGUAUUAUAUUAUCAAAAUUGAUACAUGGACAUGCAUUGCACCUAUUCAAAUCAUAACACAUAGAAAAUACCUUUCAAUCUUCCAUUAUUGGGUAUCCAGCUAAGCAAGAACAUAUUCCUUCUUUAAUAUUUUCGACUUUCAAGGUGGUCUCCUUGAUUCAACAAUUUCGUCAUAAUACAUUUACAAAAGCGAUCUCAGCUCCCAGACUUAUCUAACUAGUAUGAAAAAUAGAUUCCCCUCAUAAGCCAAUUACCCACUAGCUUUAACUUUAGUUAAUAUUUUUGUAUACCUUCCACUGCCAUACACAUUACACAAUCACUUAAUAUUUCUGAGUCAAAACUCAUACCAUAACAUGAAAUUUUUCUCCACUCCAACCAGGAGACGUGAAAAGAUCUUCACGCACCCAUAACUUGGGACUACACAUCCGAUUACAAUGGAAAUCAUAUACUCCACGGUUCAUCAAUCAUCUAGUAGAACUUCCUCGUUACUUCCAAGCUAUAUAGAUAGAUCUCGCAGUACUAUCAUAGUCCUCAGGUAACUAUCUUGCCAUCAUUCCCACUAAUAGGGACAAUACUGAACAUAUAAGUUUAUAACACUAGCUUGCAUAAUCAGCACCUUGGUGCUUAAGCCAUAAGCAAAGAUCCGGUCUCAAGUCCUCCAGUCUGGCCCAACAUCUUCCCAUAGAAAUCACAUCUUGCCCCUCGAUCGGGGAAUCACAAGCCGUCAAGUCACAUAUGAUACUGAGCACUCACGUGCGCAUACAAUCGCGUGGAAGGAAUUUCAUGAGUUUUCUUUUCAAGUUGAAUCAAGUACGCACGAUAAGAAUUGCAAGAAAGUGAAGUUUUCCUAAAGGUUCUGCAGCCUCUCAAGGAUAAAUACAGACGUAUCUGUAUCGAUCUGCGAGACUCUACUAAACCUGAUCAUGACUCGUGAGACCUAGCAACCUAGGCUUUGACACCAACUUGUAACGACCCAAAUUCCAAACCCGAUCGUGAUGACGCCUCUCAUGAAGACAAGUCCAACCAAUAAAAAAACACUCCCUUUUAACUGUUAUUUAACAUUUAUAAAGCUAGAACAUGAUUAGCAUAAUCAAAAGCGUGGAAAACAAUGAUAACAACUGGGAACCAUCCCGUCACAGCCGACAUCGGGGUGUCACUAGUCAUGAGCUAUUAAAGAGUUCACAAAGAACCACAAAUCCGGAAAUGAGAACAAAGCCUGAAAAAUAACAUGGACACAUAAAACUAAGGGAGAAGAUCCAGUACCACGGACGCUAGCGGUCACUUGGCUCAGCUACGAUAACAAUUCUUCGAUCCGCUAAUAACCCGCUACCGAGCGAACAAUACCUGCAACUGCACGCGAGGUUCAGGGAGUAAAAUGAGUACUUCCAACUCAAUGGUAAUAAGAGUAAAUAAUAACUGAAGGCAAGAAAUCACGUAAGAGCAUUCCACCAUGCAAUAUGAGACAACACAACCAUUUGAGAAAAAGAAUAAGUCCGGGAAAAUCCUUUAGACAAUAUCUGUCUCAGUUUAAAACCACUUUUAGAAAUAUCUUUUACCAACAGUUAAGCAAGUAAAUGCAGGACAAAUAGUGCAAGUCAGCACAAUAGUCAGCCUCUCGAGCAUAAGCAAGUAUGCAUAAUUGAGAUCACAACUCGUCCUUCAGGCAAUAUUCUUACCUCUGGUCAGCCACUAAUACCUGACCCAUUUACAUCAUAUAGUGUCACUACACAAAAGUCAGCCUCUUGGGCACAAGCAAAUAUGCAUAAAUGAGCUCACAACUCGUCUUUUAGGCAAUAUUCCUACCUCUGGUCAGCCACUGUUACCUGAACCAUAUACAUCACACAGUGCCAUUGUUACCGCUAUUCCAAGAUAUAUUACAGUGUCAUUGUUGCCACUUUUCCAAGUAUAACAUACAGUGUCAUUGCUACCACUGUUUCAAGUCACUUUAUAAUCAGUCCAGAAAAUAAUAUAGUAAGCCUAUUGGGCUUUUACAAAAUAGUAGUUUUCGGCCCGAAAUAUGUUUAAAAUGUCAUUUAAAUUUUCAACGCUUAGAAUUAUGGCUGAGCUUGUAAAACAACAUUUAAAACCUUGGACUGGAGUUAGAUGCUAUGCAAAUCAUGCUAAGAAGUAAUAUCAAUCUUUGAAGGAUUUUACAAGUCGACACAAGGCCCCAAACAUGGCAAUCAGCUCAAAUUAUAAUGAUAACAAGUAAUUUCAAUCAAAUACGCAGUAAAAUUAACAACCGAGACGGACCAAGUCAUAAUCCCUAACGGUUCUCUACCCCAUGAUCAUAUCCGGCAUGCAAGCCACCUCAAUACGGCACUAUCAUGUGCAAAUCCGGAGUUUCAAACCCUCAAGAUAUCAUUUACAAGUAUUACUCACCUUGAAACGGUGGAAUCUCUAGCCCGCGAUGCCUUUUCCCCUCAAACCGGCCUCCACUUGUGUCGAAUCUAACCAAAAUCAAAUCUAAUACAUCACAACAUGUUAAGGGAACAUAACCCAUUCGAAAAGACUUGAAAAAUGUCAAAAUUCACGAAAUUUGCAAAACCCGAGCUCCGGGAUCACGUCUCGAAAUCCAGAAAUUUUUACAUCCAAAUGUUUCUUAUCUUUCCACGAGUAUAUACAUACCAAUUUCACAAAAAUCGGAGUUUAUUUGACCCCUCAAAUCACCAUUUUACAUUUUCAAUCUCAAGCCUUAAUUUCAUAUGAUUUGGAUAUGUUUUCAUAGAUUUCUAGGAUGAUUCUUCAAUAUUAUCAUGUAUUUAAGUCAUAAAACUUAACCUCCAAUCGAUUCCCAGUGAAAAAGCUUCAAAACCCUCGACAAAAGCUCCCAAGCUCGCUAAAAAUGGUGGAAAUGAGCUUGGGUCGCGGACAGAAAUGUUUUUAACAUUCUAUCAGGACCACUGUAGAUCCUUCUAUGAGAUUGCGACCCAAGUCAUGCGACCGCAGGGCACAAAAUUUCAAGCCCCUAAAUUCCUCUUACGCGAUCGCAGGCAAAGCCGCGCGAUCGCAGACCGCUGCCAAACGACCCUAUGCGAUCGCAAACCAUCUCAUGCGAUCGCACUAACCAAUCACCCAAAACUAUGCCAUCGCAAACCCCUUUACGCGAUCGCAUAGAGAACAUCUGAGCCCCCUCCAAUUCCUUCUAUGCGAUCGCAGCCACAGGCUCGCGAUUGGGAUGAGCAAAUUUUGCUCUUUAAUUUCUGCUGCAUUUUUGCAACUCAAAAAUCUCCGUUAGCCAUCCGAAAUCACCCUGAGGCCCUCGGUACCUCAACCAAAAGCACAUAUAUGUUCUAAUACCUCAUUCAAACUUGCUCGAGCCAUAAUAACACUAUCGUUAACAUCAAAAUCUGCUAAUGUUCUCAAAUCAAAUCUUAUGUUUCUUAAGAACUUCGGAAUUGCACAUUCGAUCAAAAACUCGACCAAACGAUGUCUGAAUGACCUAAAAAAUUUCACACAUAUCAAAAUCACUUAACGGAGCUACUGCAACUCUCGUAAUUCCAUUUCGACCCUCGAAUCAAAAUCUCACCUAUCAACCGGAAAUCACCAAAAUACUAACUUCGCCAAAAUAGGCAAACUUCUUCACCGAACCUCCAAAAUUACUUUCGAUUGCUCUCCUAAGCCUUAAAUCAUCCCAAAAAAAUAACCGAAUCAUAGGAAUUCAAUUCCGAGCCCUCUAACUCACAAGUCAAAUAUCCGAUUGACUUUUCCAACUUAAGCCUUCUUAAAAGAGACUUGUCACACCCCUUUUUAACCAAACUCAACAUAACCCUCUUUUAUAAAUAAAUAGAUUUACUAAAAGCUUGAAAAGGGUUUUCAAUUUUGAAAGUGACAAAAUUGUGUUUCAAAAGGAAAUAAACUCAGAGUCGCCACUUGACAUAGGUUUUGGUGUGUCAGGUCACCAUUUUUAAAAUACUGUUUCCAUUUAAAACAUUUGGACUCAAGACUAAGUCCGCACCAGAGAUUCGGGUAAAGGGGUUCAUUUGACUCGGGGAGAAGGUGUUAGGCAUUCCCCAAGUCCCGUGAAGUUCACAGUUGCGUACAUGAUCAAGUUGGCAAUUAAAAUAUUCGAUUGAGGUAGAAAACAUAGAAAAGGAAAAUAAACACACAAGAGGCUCGAGGUCAUCCCCACCUAAAGAAAAAUAAAAAGUAAAAAAAAUACUAAGAGUUCUACUUUCCGCCUCCAAUUGCAAAUACUUCAGGGCAUACCUCGGAUAAUAAUAUAUACAAACUUCUAAAAAUAAAAUACUAAGAGUUCUACUUUCCGUCUCCAAUUACAAAUACUUCGGGGCAUACCCCGUAUUAUAAUAUAUACAAACUUCACGGGGCAUUCCCCGGAUAAAUUUAACUAAGGGAUAACCUCCAACCUUCAAACUAACAAAAUCCUAAGGCUUGCCUAACCGAGUGUUGCUGGCCUAAUCAUGCUGCUAGCAAUGUUACAAGGCAAUUAAAUAAAAAGUAGUAAGAUAUUUAAGGUCCAAUUUCUUUUUCAUGUUCGAUUUUCUAUUCAAUAACCAAUGUUUCUGUUUCUAUUCAGUAGCAUUUCUUCCCCACGAAGUUGAGGUCAAAUAAUAGAUGAGCCAUUAAACUUAUAUAACUAAAAUCAGUGCACAUUAAGGCAAAUGUUCUAUUCAACAAUCAAAUAUCAAUGAAUUCACAGAAUCAUAUCACCACACAUAAGCUUUAAAGGAAUAAAACUGGGAAAGAAUUUUGACCUUAAUUCUGCGAAAUCGAAUCAAACGGAUAGGACCUUGAUAAACGACAGAUUGGCUAGAACUUGGAACAGAACCUCGGACAGCCAGCGGCGACGGCUCGGAAGGGCCCCAACUCAAUCAAACUCCAUCGCUCAAGCCGACACCAAUGACUAAACGUGAAAACCUCGCCGGAACUCAACGGAUCUCAAAUUCGCCGGAAAACUCGACAACAAACAGGCUGAAAACUAGCUAUCCGUGGCUGCCGUCCUUCUUCCUCUCAAUCUUAUCCAUUUUUUCUCCUCUUGUUUCCUUGUAAAGAUUCAUUAUAUAUAGCUACUAUUGGAGGAGUUUUGGACUAACUCAUCUUUGAUUUUAUGGCCAUGAAUGACUUCAACGUGAUUUGGGAUAAUGGAACUGAAGAAUUGAAAAUGAUGAAGUUUUUGUCCCUUUUAGGAAUUAGGAAGUUGUGGAUUUAAAACUUUUGUUCUAUCUUUUCUUUCAAGAAAUCUCCCAUUCAAUUUUUGUUCUUCGUCCUCUUUAAGGCUGUAUCCGGUUCCGGUUUUGGGUCUAUUUAGGUAAACGGUUCCGGUUCUGGCGGUUUCCGGUUCUGGCGGUUCCGGUUCUGGC